rnacentral:rRNA from 1 species
UACGUAGGUGGCGAGCGUUGUCCGGAAUUAUUGGGCGUAAAGGGUGCGUAGGCGGUUUCUUAAGUGGGAUGUGAAAUACCUAGGCUUAACUUAGGAAUGGCAUUCCAAACUGGAAGACUAGAGUGCAGUAGAGGGAAGUGGAAUUCCCAGUGUAGCGGUGAAAUGCGUAGAGAUCGGGAGGAACACCAGUGGCGAAGGCGACUUUCUGGACUGAAACUGACGCUGAGGCACGAAAGCGUGGGGAGCAAACAGGAUUAGAAACCCGAGUAGUCC